GAGUUUGAUCAUGGCUCAGAUUGAACGCUGGCGGCAUGCCUAACACAUGCAAGUCGAACGGCAACGCGGGUGGCAACACCUGGCGGCGAGUGGCGGACGGGUGAGUAACGCGUGGGAAUCUGCCCUGUAGUGGGGGACAACCUGGGGAAACCCAGGCUAAUACCGCAUACGCUCUACGGAGGAAAACGGGGGAUCUUCGGACCUCGUGCUAUAGGAUGAGCCCACGUUAGAUUAGCUAGUUGGUAGGGUAAUGGCCUACCAAGGCAACGAUCUAUAGCUGGUCUGAGAGGACGACCAGCCACACUGGGACUGAGACACGGCCCAGACUCCUACGGGAGGCAGCAGUGGGGAAUAUUGGACAAUGGGGGAAACCCUGAUCCAGCGAUGCCGCGUGUGUGAAGAAGGCCUGCGGGUUGUAAAAGCACUUUCAGUGGGGACGAUUGGUUGAACGGUUAAUAACCGUUCGAUUUGACUUAACCCCAAAGAAGAAGCACCGGCUAAUUCCGUGCCAGCAGCCGCGGUAAC
rnacentral:rRNA from 1 species